CUGGAAACCUUUCUGAUUUCUAUGACAUUUGCAAAGGAUUAGAACUUGCUAGGAAUUUCCAGUUUCCUGUUUUGAGAGAGCCUCCAUAAUCCUUUCUUACAACUAUGGAAGAGUAUAUCAAAGAGGCACCACGUGUUGUUUCUGUUCCUAGUGAGGCAUUGCUUCAAUUGACAUACAGACCAGACGAAGGU